AUUCAUUGUAGUGAAGCGGCUGAACCAGAACACAAUGUUUUAAAUUAGACUUUCAAACGUUGACAGCAUUGUAUUUCCUUCUCUGUGAUCUCAUGAUUCUGCAUAGCUAAUAUCUCCCACGCUUGCCAUUCACCAGGCAAAGCUUUUAUUCCUGUCUCUCUCAGCACCACUACCUUCCAUGUUUUAACCUCCCACUGAAUGUCUGAAACUCAGAUUGCUUCUCCAGUACAGCCUGAAUUUUCUUAAUCUUCUCAUUUUAUAAUUUCUCAGCUGCCUUUGAAUUUGGAGUCCAACUCUGGGAGCUUCAGAUGACCUUCAGAGGUCCCUUCCAACUCCAAAGAUUCUAUGAUUCUGUGAAUUAUUUCUGUGCACCUACAGGAGGUAUUGUAAGUGCUUACCUUAUGGCCACUUUUCAAACAUUAGACUGCUGUCACCAAAAUGGCUGGUGAGAUGUCAGGUAGGACAGAGCCCUGCAGAACCAACCAAGAGCACCGUCUUUUAGCUAUUUAUCUCUAGUAUACGACGUGGCCACUUCCAUUAUAGGGUGUUCUGAUGCAAGUUUGGUUGUUGUUCAGCGUUAUCAGAAAAACGUGUUCUUUCCUUAUGCUUUCCUGUUUGGUCUCUGUAAAAGAAAGCUGGGAUAUGGCUGCACUACUGUGGGUUUAUCAAUCUUUCCAUUCCUGCACACGUUUCAGGUUCAGCCCCAGAAGUGACAAGUGCAGGAUGUGUUGAAUGACCUCUGCUCUACCUGUGUGGGUCAAGCUUGCAUUUAUUUACUCUUGUAAGAGAUUGUUGAGAGUUGUGUAUGACCGGGCAAGCAUAUAGACACAGCUUAUAAACAAGAGGAAUGGGUCUGCAGGUGUCAGAAACUCCCAUCUGCUCUUUUGUCAUCUCCAAAUUUAGAAAUCAGUAAAAUAGGAAGAAAUAUCUUUGCUCAGUUACUAUUACUUGGCUGAAUACAUUUAUGUACAUAUACUACAUAUACACUAAUUUUAAAAGGUGUGAAGCUUUGCAGAAUACUUGGCCUUCCCUCCCAUCGCUGAAUUUCAAUAUUUGCAUCCAUUCUACUUUGUGUUCUUCAUUACUUUGUCUUUAAUUCCAUGGAAUUGGCUUAUCAGCAAAUAAAACCUAACCAACUAUGUGAAAAGCAACUCCCUGUCGAACUGAAUUGAGGAAAUGCAGUUCUUAAUUUCAAGCUUUUCUUUCUUUCAGGAGUUUUCAGGAGCACUCAGUGCUCCUUAUGGGCCCUUUCCAACUCUGGAUAUUCUGUUGCUGUGGAUCAUCUGUUCUCCCACUCUAAAUGAACAUAUCUUGAGGCUAGAACUGAGUAGAAGAAAUUUAACCCUGGAUUUGUGUCCGAGGAGUACAUAAAUACUGAAAGCAAGGAUUUUCUCAGGACAACAACUGAAGAGAUGAAGAGAAACACAAGUGCUGUUGUAAAUGCCUGCAGACUCAGAUCCUGCCAGAGGCUCCAGGUGCAACAGGAGAAGCCAGCAGAGGGAGGCACGCCCAUUUUUACUGAAAGGAUUGGAAAAGGGUACUGGAGUGAAACUGCAGUUGUCUACAAACAGAAGGAUUCUUCCACUUGCCAGCCACACGUCUCUGUCAAGAAAAAAAGAAGUUUGAGCUGCCAUUAUGAAAUUUUAUUCAAACAAACUUUUGCAAAGGAGAAGAGUGGAAGACCAAAGACAGUGUCUUGAAAGAAAAUAGUCUUUAUUUCGAGGAUUGGAAGAAGAGAAAAAGUUAAGGCUAAGAAGAGAGUUGCUCAGAGGAGUUUGGCCAUAUUAAGAGCAGAGCUGGAAGUUAUCCCAAUGUGUAGGAAGGACGAGAUGACAGCGAGAAACCAGCUCACCCAAUGAGAUGUUCAGUGACCUCAAACAAGAAACUGGUUUUGCAGGGCUGCUCUGUAAAUCAGAUCAACAAAAUGAUCUGUAUUAAUAAAGAACACAAGACCUGUUUUUGUCCUCCCCCCCCUCUUCUCCUUUGUUUUUUGUUAGACUGAGUUGUUUCAUUGACACAGCUGAUAGUGUAGGCCUAUGAACUACAGCAUCAGCACAACUCAAGGAGUGGAACCAGUGCUUGGAGUGAGGAUCUCCCAUGCCUCAGGAGACAGUGUUCAAAAUGUACUCAGG
ensembl:lncRNA